rnacentral:rRNA from 1 species
UACGGGGGGGGCAAGCGUUGUUCGGAAUUACUGGGCGUAAAGGGCUCGUAGGCGGCCAACUAAGUCAGACGUGAAAUCCCUCGGCUUAACCGGGGAACUGCAUCUGAUACUGGAUGGCUUGAGAUUGGGAGAGGGAUGCGGAAUUCCAGGUGUAGCGGUGAAAUGCGUAGAUAUCUGGAGGAACACCGGUGGCGAAGGCGGGUCUCUGGGCCGAUACUGACGCUGAGGAGCGAAAGCGUGGGGAGCGAACAGG